rnacentral:rRNA from 1 species
AGUGAACGCUGGCGGUAGGCCUAACACAUGCAAGUCGAACGGCAGCACAGUAAGAGCUUGCUCUUACGGGUGGCGAGUGGCGGACGGGUGAGGAAUACAUCGGAAUCUACUUUUUCGUGGGGGAUAACGUAGGGAAACUUACGCUAAUACCGCAUACGACCUACGGGUGAAAGCAGGGGAUCUUCGGACCUUGCGCGAUUGAAUGAGCCGAUGUCGGAUUAGCUAGUUGGCGGGGUAAAGGCCCACCAAGGCGGCGAUCCGUAGCUGGUCUGAGAGGAUGAUCAGCCACACUGGAACUGAGACACGGUCCAGACUCCUACGGGAGGCAGCAGUGGGGAAUAUUGCACAAUGGGCGCAAGCCUGAUCCAGCCAUACCGCGUGGGUGAAGAAGGCCUUCGGGUUGUAAAGCCCUUUUGUUGGGAAAGAAAAGCAGCAGGUUAAUACCCCGCUGUUCUGACGGUACCCAAAGAAUAAGCACCGGCUAACUUCGUG